AUACGGAGGGGGCUAGCGUUGUUCGGAAUUACUGGGCGUAAAGCGUACGUAGGCGGACUGGAAAGUUGGGGGAGAAAUCCCGGGGCUCAACCCCGGAACUGCCUCCAAAACUUCCAAUCUAGAGAUCGAGAGAGGUGAGUGGAAUUCCAAGUGUAGAGGUGAAAUUCGUAGAUAUUUGGAGGAACACCAGUGGCGAAGGCGGCUCACUGGCUCGAUACUGACGCUGAGGUGCGAAAGCGUGGGGAGCAAACAGGAUUAGAAACCCUAGUAGUCC
rnacentral:rRNA from 1 species